rnacentral:rRNA from 1 species
GAUGAACGCUGGCGGCGUGCCUAAUACAUGCCAGUCGAGCGAACAGACGAGUAGCUUGCUGCUCUGAGGGUAGGGGCGGCCGAGGGGGUAACACGUCGAUAACAUCCCUCUAACUCUUGCAGAACUACGGGAAGCAGGAGCUGCUACCACGUGAUAUUUUGGGCCGCUUGGAUCAAGAGUGAAGGACAGUUUUGCUGUCGCUGAUGGAUGGAUCCGCGCCGUAUUAGCUAGUUGGUAAGGUAAUGGCCUACCAAGGCGACGAUGCGUAGCCGACCUGAGAGGGGGAUCGGCCACAAUGGAACUGAGACGAGGCCCAGACGACUACGGGAGGCAGCAGUAGGGAAUAUUACGGCACGGGCGAAAGACUGACGGAGCAACGCCGCGGGGGUGAUGAUGGUCUUCGGAUCGUAAAAAUCUGUUAUUAGGGAAGAACAAAUGUGUAAGUAACUGUGCACGUCUUGACGGUACCUAAUCAGAAAGCGACGGCUAACUACGUG